GGUAGUGCUGUGAAGGCAGUGUGUGUAAGAGGGAGGGUGGAGGCGGUGUUCGGAAUUGGUGGGCGUAAAUCGCGUGUAGUGGGCGGCGUAAGUAGGUUGUGAAAUUCCUCAGCUCAACGGAGGAAGUGCACUUGAUACUGGGUCGCUUGACUGUCGGAGGGGAUGGCGGAAGUCCCGGUGUAGGGGUGAAAUUCGUAGAUAUCGGGAGGAACACCUGUGGCGAAGGCGGCCAUCUGGACGACGAUUGACGCUGAGACGCGAAAGCGUGGGUAGCAAACAGGAUUAGAUACCCCAGUAGUC
rnacentral:rRNA from 1 species